AUAUUGGACAAUGGGCGCAAGCCUGAUCCAGCCACGCCGCGUGAGUGAUGAAGGCCUUCGGGUUGUAAAGCUCUGUGGGGAGGGACGAAAAAGGUGGAGACUAAUAAGCUCUGCCCUUGACGGUACCUCCUUAGCAAGCACCGGCUAACUCUGUGCCAGCAGCCGCGGUAAGACAGAGGGUGCGAACGUUGCUCGGAAUCACUGGGCGUAAAGCGCGUGUAGGCGGGUGAUCAAGUCAGGUGUGAAAUCCCUGGGCUCAACCCAGGAACUGCAUCUGAAACUGGUUGCCUUGAGUGUCGGAGAGGGAAGCGGAAUUCUCGGUGUAGAGGUGAAAUUCGUAGAUAUCGGGAGGAACACCGGUGGCGAAGGCGGCUUCCUGGACGACUACUGACGCUGAGACGCGAAAGCGUGGGGAGCAAACAGG
rnacentral:rRNA from 1 species